rnacentral:lncRNA from 1 species
CAGGGAAUAUGUAUGAAUCUUCCAGUUUUGUAAUAUCAUACAGACAGAUGCAGAGACCAACGUUGUAUACAACCUUAUUGGCCAAUUUCUUGUUCAGCUCCUCAGCAAUGGACUCAUUCAGUUUUCUCUCAAACUGCCAGGGAGGAAUCCUCACCGUGUCAGUCAUCUCCACCAGGACAAACAUGGCAGCCUCUGACACACACACACCGAACACCGCCACGCGCUGCC